rnacentral:tRNA from 1 species
CCCUGUGGCUCAGUUGGUAGAGCAUGGUGUUUGCAAUGCUGUGCAACGCCAGCGUUGUGGGUUCGAUUCCCACCGGGG